CUACAUAAUCAUCUCCUCACAGAAACCUUCAUCUACAUUAGAAAUGUUUUCUUAUCCGUUACUAUAGCAACAAUAACACAUUACACAUUAGAACGAGAAUGUUACGAUAAACUGCUCUUAUAGAAAAUCAGUCAACCUUCUAAACAAUGAGGUGCAGAAUUCAGCAGCACUUGUGGUGUAACCUUUAAUAACAAGUCACUUUACCCCACAAGCCAAGGUUCAGGGAGCGAGAACGAGUCCACGCUCUGGCCCUGUUCUUUCUCUCUCUCUCUCUCUCUCUCUCCCUCCCUCCAUUCCUCCCUCUAUCCUUUUCUAGCACUUUAUCACCAGUAAUAAAAAUUCCUCAGCGAUCUGCUUGCUGCCGGAGAGCCGAAUGUUCUGUCGUUUCAGAGGAGGUUCAAAAGGUCAGUGUGAAGGAGCAGGAAGUAGGUCACACCUGAUAAUCAGGAGGUUACAUUACAGCACACAGGGAGCGCAGGACUCCAGUCAAACAAAGGGCAUGUUUGCUCCAUGACUGCAUCGUGUGCGUGGCCCAGGACAAGGUGCUGGAAAAGACCCAGGUGAACCGGUGGGGUCGUCAAUAAAGGCUCUGAGGUCUGACGACAAUGCUCUAUUCUGAUUGGCUGGAAGGUGUUUUCCAGAACAGCAGCCCUGACAGUCUCACGUUUAACACGCUCCUUCCCGAUACGUUCUCGUUACCACGGAGACAACUCAUUCACAGGGACUUCACAGGUAGAGCCUCGCUGAUCUACAGGAGGGCUGCGUGCUUCUGAUGGAUUAAAUCAUCAUCAUCAUCAUCAUCAUCAUCAUCAUCAUCAUCAUCAUCAUCAUCAUCAGCAGCAGCAGCAGCAGCAGCAGCAGCAGCAGCAUGAGUACCAGGAGCUGCUGGCAGGCUGAAGCACCACAGCGUAUGCAGGGACAAAGCGUAAGUGUGUGUUUAAGUUGUGUAUCCAGUAAAACCAACUCCUUCUCUUUCUCUUCUCUUUCUUACUUCCUCUAAUCGGCUGCAUGCGAUGAAUCAAACCCUGUGUCACAACUCGAGGCGGCGCGUUAAAAGUCUCUCAGUCCAGAUUUAAAAAAGUAUUUUUGACUAACGCCGUUGUUCCAUUCGUAAUAUGGAGCUUCAACCAGUC